rnacentral:misc_RNA from 1 species
UUGCUGUCAUUGGACGAAUAAACACACGGCUCAGCUGCCUAAAAGCCUCAAAAGCAACAACUACUUGGUUGGUAUCAGACUGCUGCAACUUAUUCCAAAAGGGUAGUCCAUUCUUUCUGGCCUUAUGGACCAUAAGGAUUGCAGAUGUCCUCUCAGAGAGCUCCAUAAGGUGCAGAGCAUAGACACACAGUCCUUGCCUCUUCUCAGUUCCACGUGAAGCCUC